rnacentral:rRNA from 1 species
GAUGAACGCUGGCGGCGUGCUUAACACAUGCAAGUCGAACGAUUGAAGCUGGAGCUUGCUCCGGCCGAUUUAGUGGCGGACGGGUGAGUAACGCGUGGGUAACCUGCCUCAUACAGGGGGAUAGCAGUUGGAAACGACUGGUAAAACCGCAUAAGCGCACGGUGUCGCAUGACACAGUGUGAAAACACUCCGGUGGUAUGAGAUGGACCCGCGUCUAAUUAGCUAGUUGGUGAGGUAACGGCCCACCAAGGCGACGAUCAGUAGCCGGCCUGAGAGGGUGAACGGCCACAUUGGGACUGAGACACGGCCCAAACUCCUACGGGAGGCAGCAGUGGGGAAUAUUGCACAAUGGGGGAAACCCUGAUGCAGCGACGCCGCGUGAGUGAUGAAGUAUUUCGGUAUGUAAAGCUCUAUCAGCAGGGAAGAUAAUGACGG